UACGAAGGGGGCUAGCGUUGCUCGGAAUCACUGGGCGUAAAGCGCCCGUAGGCGGGUCGUUAAGUCAGGGGUGAAAUCCCGGAGCUCAACUCCGGAACUGCCUUUGAUACUGAGGAGCUUGAGUCCGGGAGAGGUGAGUGGAACUGCGAGUGUAGAGGUGAAAUUCGUAGAUAUUCGCAAGAACACCAGUGGCGAAGGCGGCUCACUGGCCCGGUACUGACGCUGAGGUGCGAAAGCGUGGGGAGCAAACAGG
rnacentral:rRNA from 1 species